rnacentral:tRNA from 1 species
UGGAGUGUGGCUCAGUGGCAGAGCAUUUGUCUAGCAUGUCCAAGGGCCUUGGGUUUGAUCCCCAACACAACAA